AACUGGUAAUUACGCGAGGUAUAGUCGAACUUUACAAUAUGGACGAUGAAGAGCCGCUUGGUUCUGGAACAACCUCUACUGUAUCGGAUACAAAUUUUCGGAAAAAUUUCGAGAUCGCUUUCAAUAUAUUAUUAGAUAUCAUGAUAUUGGCUUUGAUGCUCCAGUGUUGUUCUGCAGCUUGGUACUCGCUCAUUGAAAAUAGAACCUACCACGUCAUCACGCAACUCGGCCUUGCAUCAAUAUGUUAUAAAGUUUUGUUCUGCAUAAACGUUUGGAUUAAUAAAGUAUCCGGAGAACCGUAA